UGGGGAAUCUUCCGCAAUGGGCGCAAGCCUGACGGAGCAACGCCGCGUGAGUGAAGAAGGGUUUCGACUCGUAAAGCUCUGUUGUCGGGGACGAAUGUGGAGAUGGUGAAUAAUCAUUUUCAAUGACGGUACCUGACGAGGAAGCCACGGCUAACUCCGUGCCAGCAGCCGCGGUAAUACGGAGGAUGCGAGCGUUAUCCGGAUUUAUUGGGUUUAAAGGGUGCGCAGGCGGCGCGAAAAAGUCAGCGGUCAAAGUUCCGGGCUCAACCCGGUGACGCCGUUGAAACUUUCGUGCUGGAGUUCGUGCGAGGGAGGCGGAAUGCGUUGUGUAGCGGUGAAAUGCAUAGAUAUGACGCAGAACCCCGAUUGCGAAGGCAGCUUUCCAGCACGCGACUGACGCUGAGGCACGAAAGCGUGGGGAGCGAACAGGAUUAGAUACCCUGGUAGU
rnacentral:rRNA from 1 species